ensembl:lncRNA
GAACAUAGAGGUGCAUAAGUCUCUUUGGAUUGUUUAUUUCCAGUUCUUUGGAUAAAUACCAAGUAGUGGGAUAACUGGGUCAUAAGGUAUUUCAAUUUUUAAUUUUUUGUGAAAUCUCCAUACUGUUUUCCAUAGUGGCUGCACCAGUUUGCAUUCCCACCAGCAGUGUAUGAAGGUUGCUUUUCUCCAUAUCCUCUCCAACAUUUGAUAUUUUUUGUCUUGGUAAUUCUAGCCAUUCUAACAGGUGUAAGGUGAUAUCUCAUGGUAGUUUUGAAUUGCAUUUCUUUAGUAAUUAGUGAUAUUGAACAACUUUCCAUGUGGCCUUGCUAUCUGUAUAUCUUCUUUGGAAAAAUAUCUAUUCAUUUUCUCUCCCCAUUCUUUUAUUGGGUUGUUUGUUUUGUUAUUGUUGAGUUGUAUGAGUUCCUCAUAUAUUUUAGAUAUAUAUAUAUAAACUUAUACAUUAUAUAUAUUAUAUAUCCAUAUAUAUUAUACAUAUAUAUAUAUAUUAACUUCUUGUCAAUAUGUGAUUUGCAAAUAUCUUCUCCCAGUUGGUGGGUUGUCUUUUUGUUUUGUUUCUGGUUUCUUAUGACUUGCAGAAGUACUUUAGUCUGAUGAAGUCCCAUUUGUUUAUUUCUACUCUUGUUUCCUUGCCUGAGUAGACAUGGUAUUCAAAAAGAUACUUCUAAAACUGAUGUCAAAGUGUGUACUACCUGUAUUUUCUUCUGAGUUUUAUAGUUUCACAUCUUACUUUCAAAUUUUUAAUACAUUUUGAGUUAAUUUCUGUGUAUGGUGAGAGAUAAUGGUCUACUUUCAUUCCUUUGCAUGUGGCUGUCCAGUUUUCCCAACACUAUUUAUUGAAGAAACUUUCCUUUAUCCAUUGUAUGUUCUUAGCUCCUUUUUCAAAGAUUAGCUGUCUAUAGAUGUGUGGUUUUAUUUCUGGCCUUCCAGUUCUGUUGCAGUGAUCCACGUGUAUGCUUUUGUACCAGUACCAUGCUGUUUUGAUUACUAUAGUUUUCUAGCAUACUUUGAAGUCAGAGAUUAUGAUGCCUCUGGAUUUGUUCUUUAUUCUCAAGAUUGCUUUAGCUAUUCAGAGUCCUUUGUUGUCCCCUAUGAAUUUUAGGAUUCUUUGUUGCAUUUCCAUGAAGAACGUCAUUGAGAUUGUGAUGAAUCCAUAGAUUACUUUAAGUAGUAUGGACAUUUAAACUUUGUUUAUUCUUCCAAUCCAUGUUUAUAGAAUAUCAUUCAAUUUCUUUGUGUCACCGGUGAUUUUUUUAAAACAAUGUCUUAUAAUUUUCAUUGCAUAGGUAUUUCACAUCCUGGCUUACAUUUAUUCAUAGAUAUUUUAAUCUUUUUGAUGAGAUUGUAAGUGGGAUUGUAUUCUUGAGUUCUCUUUCUUUAGAUUUGUUAAUGAAGUAUAGAAACACAAUUGAUUUUUGUAACUUGAUGUUGUACCUUGCAACUUUGCUGUAGUUGUUGAUUAUUUCUAAUAUUUUUCCAAUGGAUUCUUUCAGAUUUUCUGUAAAUAAAAUCAUGUCAUCUGCAAGUAGUGAGAAUUUCACUUCUUACCUGUCACUUGGAUGCCAUUUACUUCUUUUUCUUGCCUAAUUGCUUUGGCCAAAACUUCCAGUGUUGUGUUGAAUAAAAGUGGUGAGAGUGGACACCCUUGUCUUGUUCUUGUUCUCAGAUUGAUGGCUUUCAGUGUUUCCUCAUUGAGUAUGAGUUUGUUUCCUUAAUAGAGAAACCUCAGUCCUUUUGAACAUAGAAAAUUAUUUUAACAGACAUAGAUAUUCUGUCCUAAAGGUAAACUUACCAAAGUGAAAGAAAAACCUUGUAUAACCUCUUUAUCAAGAGCAGACUAACACUCCAGGAAAAUUAUCCAUUUAAGAGAGAGAGAAAACCAAAUUUUAAUUUUUGCAUCAGCUUAUUUUUGACACUAAAAUUCAUUUACUUGGGGUCAAGACAAUGUAUGAAGAAUUUAAAGAAAAUGAGAAAAUGCUAAAUUCUUGGGUUUGAAAUAACUGGCCUGUAAAAAUGUGUCUAUGUAUGUGGAAGUAUGUGUGUGUGUGCAUACAGUAUGCCCCAUAAUUAUGCCUUUGUGAAGCUUUUCUAACAUCACAAAUGUAAAUGAUACUAAUAUAAAACACAUUAUUUGGAGAUUUAAUUAUAUUUUCAUUGUAAUUAUUUUAAAUAAUAGCAAAUGGUUAGUUUGAAUUUUUCUGCCACUCGUUCUGAGUGAAAAUGGCAAAGAUUGAUGGAAACAAUAAAAAUUAAAUAUUCAAAAUUAAAUAAGUAUAAAAUAAAGUUCUGCUUCUGGAUAGAUGAAAGUAGAAAACUUAUUACGGGGGACGGCCUAUUGGCAGACUGUUUAAGUUUGCAUGCUCCACUUUAGUGGCCGAGGGUUCACAGGUUCAGAUCCCAGGUGUGGACCUAGCACUGCUCAUCAAGCCACACUGUGGCAGCAUCCUACAUAAAAUAGAGAAAGAUUGGCACAGAUAUUAGUUCAGUGACAAUCUUCCUCAAGCAAAAGAAGGAAGAUUGGCAAUGGAAGUUAGCACAGGGCCAAUAUCCCUCAGAAAAAGAAAAAUUAUUAUGUGGGAAAAUGAAGCAGAGAUUUGCACAACAUGGAUGAAGCUGAAGGGCAUUAUUCUCAAUGAAAUAAACCAGAGAAAGAAAGACAAACACUGCAUGAUAUCACUUAUAUGUGAAAUCUAAAAAAAAAAAGGUCAAACUUACAUAAACAGAAAGUAGAAAGGUAGCUGUCAGGGGCAAUGGGGUGGGGGGAAAAAGGGAGAAGCAGGUAAAAGGGGACAAACUUUCAACUCUAAUGUCAAGAGCUUCUGAGGGUCUAACAUCUGACGUGGUGUCUAGAGUUGAGAACACUGAAUUGUACAAUUGAAAUCAGCUAAGAGAGAAGCACUUCAAUGUUCUCACACACACAAAGUCAAUAUGUGAGGUGAAAAAAUAUUGGAGUUGAGGACAGAGGAGAAUCAGGGUAUGAAUCCCUGGGAACCAGCCCAAAUUGCCAGGAGAACUUCAGACUUUCAAAGGCCAUGAGAUAGGUGGGUUCAAACCAAGAAUCCAGGAGACGCAGGGAACCGGGUGACAUCUGGCUUCCAGGUGGAAGGAAUACAAAACUAGCUAAGGUCUAGAAGGCCCAGGAGGGUGGAGGGAGGCAGUUGUAGGUCAGUUGGUGGCGGAGGGGCUGUGGUCCAAUCUGCUUCCCUGCUGUCCCCUCCCCCCCCUCAGAAGCCCUUGUGACACGGCCACAGUUCCAUGAUGAGGACGUGGGGUUCUAAUCUCCAAGUCACUCCCAGUGCUCAGUUGCCUGAGAGUAGAACUGUAUUUGAGAUAUGGAAACUCCUAUCUUAUAUGUAAAAAGCAUUGUUGCUACCUGGUUGAGCUCCAGUUCCACUUCCUGGGUGAUUGGGACCAUCCUCUGCAUCCUGUGUGGACUGGGGCUCUUCCUCCUGUUCCUUCCCUCCAUAGGAAUUCGUCCUUACAACCACCUUACAAAAGGAGAAAGGUCAGGAAGCAUCAAGUGGAGCCGAGAGGGAGGAGCAGCAGGAACAGGAAGAAAAGGGAAGCUUUGAAAGCUCACAGAGCUGGCCGGAAGGACCUGGCAGAAGUGGGGGGCCUGAUGUCCUUUUCGUAAAGGAGUAUGAAAUGAACAAUGCCAAAGGAUGAAGACGCACCUUGUGGAUAAUCACAAAGUGGAAGCACAAGGCUCUUUACGGACCCUGAGAACAAAGCUGGCUGACAUGAAGCCUGACCUUAAGAAGACUGCCGUCAGAGCUGAAGCCCUUGGCACCUCAAGGGCUCCCCAGCUUAGCGCUAUUUGGGAUUUGGCAAGCCAUUCCUGCAAGAAGUCAAUGAUGACCUUUAGAAUUUGUGGGUAUAGUUGGUUGAAGUAAAUCAAUGUGCUGUUUGUGUUGACUUUCCCUUCCGGGAAUUGGAGGAAAUUCCUUCUGGCAUCACUUGGUUGCCUAGUCAAUCCCUGAUUUUAGAAUCAGAGACAUUGUUCUCUGUCUCCCUGUUCUGUGUCUGAGGACUGCUCCCUGACCUCCAUCCAGCUGUCAUCCUACACUCCAGCCCAAGUAGGUACAUGCAGACCUCACUUUGGGCUGGACCUCCUCCUGGUUAGACCCCUGUCUGUGCCCUCUCACUUUGAUUGGACCUCUGGACGUUGAUCCCUGGCCUGUUCCAUCUGAGCGUGUGUGUGCUUUAUAACAAAUCUAGACCUUGCUGCUCCAAUUCCCUGGACUUCUGACCUGGUUUUAUUUGUCUUCCAGCUUGCCCUGACCUCUGAGACCUACAUCUUAACCUGACAGUCAAGCCUUUUCUAAUUCUGUGACUUUUAUACAAAGCACACUUUCUAGCUAGUUCUUCC